GACGAACGCUGGCGGCGUGCUUAACACAUGCAAGUCGAACGGAAAGGCCCUGCUUGCAGGGUACUCGAGUGGCGAACGGGUGAGUAACACGUGGGUGAUCUGCCCUGCACUUCGGGAUAAGCCUGGGAAACUGUGUCUAAUACCGGAUAGGAGCCAUUUUUAUUGUGAUGGUUGGAAAGUUUUUUCGGUGUAGGAUGAGCUCGCGGCCUAUCAGCUUGUUGGUGGGGUAAUGGCCUACCAAGGCGGCGACGGGUAGCCGGCCUGAGAGGGUGGACGGCCAAAUUGGGACUGGGAUACGGCCCAGACUCCUACGGGAGGCAGCAGGGGGGAAUAUUGCACAAUGGGGGCAAGCCUGAUGCAGCGACGCCGCGUGGGGGAUGACGGCCUUCGGGUUGUAAACCCCUUUCGCUAGGGAAGAAGCUUUUUGUGACGGUACCUAGAUAAGAAGCACCGGCUAACUACGUG
rnacentral:rRNA from 1 species